GGGGCUGCAAAACCCUGCCUCCCCCGCUCCCCCCCCCCCUGCCUGGACCCUGUCCUUCUCACUGGUGGGCUCCUUUCCUCAAAGGGAACUGCAGUUUCAAGAAAGGGGCGGGGGGCUCCCAUCCUGUCAAUGUUGGCAGAAACGGCCUUUCCUUUAACUGUGUUCUCUCUGUCCAGGUAACUACUCCAGUUCCCAUUGGCUCUCUGCAAUUCAGAGGGGCCCUAAGAAAAAUGUAAUUCCUGCCUGGAAUGAUAAUCAGAACAACCUUUAUUUUUCAUGCCUGCUCUUGCCCAAACACUGUUUGAUGCAAUCUCAAGAUAUUACCUUGCUUCAGCCUCACAACAGCCCAUUUCACUCACUCAUUCAUUCACUCAUUCAUUUAUUCAUUCAGCGCACUUUCCCUGAGCAGCUACUUUGAGCAAAGUUCUGGGGACACGGGGGUGAUGAACUAAACACAGGUUGGAGCUGUUUUGUGGCUGACAGGCCCACAUAAGCAACCUAACAAAGAAAAUGAUUGCCAGUUGUGUUCUGGAGGCCAGACAUCCACAAUCAAGGUGUUGGCUGAGCCACGCUCCGUCCGAAGAAUGAAGAGUUUCUCUCCUGCUUCACAGAAUCACCAAGAAGGCAGAAGGAAAUAAAGAAUGUGGGACACACAGAUCCUGCGCGGCAACUAUUAGAAUGGAAACAUUCUUGCCAGCCUAACACGGAUGCUGGGAAGGCUAGAGGAGGUCCCUUCUGUAAAGUAUCUCACAGACGUUUCAUUAUUGAUCUGCCUUGUUAUGCUUUCAAGAAGAGACAGGCGUAAGUACUCAUGACUCUCCUUGUUUUCCGAUCUCAAGGUCUAACCCAGGGCUGAUGGCUUAGUGGGUGCCUCCACUGAUUUCUCACCCUUCCUGGGCACAGACAAUGUCUGACUCAUCUCUGUUUCCCAGCAAGGAACUGGCACACAGUAGGUGUUGAUAAAUGUUUUCUGGACUAAAUGUAAUUGGGAUCAAUGCCCAAAAGGCAGAUUCUCUCAUUUCCAUUGUUUAAAAAUACCAUGGAUUUCCCCUUAUGCAUUAUGUAUCACAGAAAUUAAUUUAUCCAGAACUGUUUUCCAAUGUACAGUUUAGUUUCCAAACGAUCUAGUCUGCGUCCAAGUGGAAAUCUGCACUGGGAGGUCUGGCUAGUCUCUCACUGUCUCUGUUAAUCCCAAGCAUCACUCUUGAAGUGGGUACAAAGGUAAGGGUCUGGGGGAAGUCAUGUCAGAAGCCAGUAUCUCCUGAUUCUUACUUCCUUUGGCAAGGUCAGGGCAGAUGGACCUCACAGAACCAGGUAGAUCUUUCCUUAGUUCCCUACCCCAAACCCAGUGAUCUCUCCAUUCUUCUAGCCCCUUAGAGAAGGUAUCAGGAGAAGUUGUGGGUUCAGACAUACCACAUACUAGUGAGGUGAUCUUGGGAAAGACAUCAAGUCAUGUCCACUCUCCAAACCUCAAUUUCCUCAUCUGUAAAGAGAGCAUCAUUACGUCUAUACUUGAUGGCCAUUCUGAGGGCUACGUUGUAAAAGACUAUAGCACUUUGAACUAGUAACAGAAGUUUACAAGUAUGCAUACUGGAAAUUACAAAGAGCUGUGGUGGUAGUGUCUGGGUGGCUCAGUUGGUUAAGCGUCUGACUUUGGCUCAGGUCACAAUCUCGCAGUUUGUGGGUGGAAGCCCUGCGUAGGGCUCUGUGUUAACAGCUCACAGCCUGGAGCCUACUAAGGAUUCUUUGUCUCCCUUUCUCUCUGCCCCUC